GUGCCAGCCGCCGCGGUAAAACGUAGGAGACAAACGUUAUCCGGAGUUACUGGGCGUAAAGGGCGUGUAGGUGGUUUCGUAAGUCUGGCGUGAAAUAUCUCGGCUUAACCGGGGGAUGUCGUCGGAGACUGGCGGACUAGAGGGUGAUAGAAGCGUGUGGAAUUCCGGGUGUAGUGGUGAAAUGCGUAGAGAUCCGGAGGAACCCCAGAGGCGAAGGCGGCAGCCUGGUUGGCUCCUGACGCUCGGACACGACAGCAUGGGGAGCGAACGGGAUUAGAAACCCCAGUAGUCC
rnacentral:rRNA from 1 species